CAGUAGCCGCGGGAAUACGGAGGGUGCUAGCGUUGUUCGGAAUUACAGGGCGUAAAGCGCACGUAGGCGGCUUUGUAAGUUAGAGGUGAAAGCCUGGAGCUCAACCCCAGAAUUGCCAUUAAGACUGCAUCGCUUGAAUCGCGGAGAGGUGAGUGGAAUUCCGAGUGUAGAGGUGAAAUUCGUAGAUAUUCGGAAGAACACCAGUGGCGAAGGCGGCUCACUGGACGCAUAUUGACGCUGAGGUGCGAAAGCGUGGGGAGCAAACAGGAUUAGAUACCCCUGUAGUCCCUGUCUCUUAUAC
rnacentral:rRNA from 1 species